GGAGAGGUGACCGAGAGGCCGAAGGUGCAGCACUGGAAAUGCUGUUUACGGGUAACCGUAACGGGAGUUCGAAUCUCCCUCUCUCCG
rnacentral:tRNA from 1 species